rnacentral:rRNA from 1 species
UACGAAGGGGGCGAGCGUUGUUCGGAAUUACUGGGCGUAAAGGGCGCGUAGGCGGCGACCCAAGUCAGAUGUGAAAGUCCUGGGCUUAACCUGGGGACUGCAUUUGAUACUGGGUUGCUUGAACUCGGGAGAGGAUAGCGGAAUUCCCAGUGUAGAGGUGAAAUUCGUAGAUAUUGGGAAGAACACCGGUGGCGAAGGCGGCUAUCUGGACCGACAUUGACGCUGAGGCGCGAAAGCCAGGGGAGCAAACGGG